rnacentral:rRNA from 1 species
UACGGGGGGGGCAAGCGUUGUUCGGAAUUACUGGGCGUAAAGAGCUCGUAGGCGGUCUGUCGCGUCGGCUGUGAAAACCCGGGGCUCAACCCCGGGCCUGCAGUCGAUACGGGCAGACUAGAGUGCGGUAGGGGAGACUGGAAUUCCUGGUGUAGCGGUGAAAUGCGCAGAUAUCAGGAGGAACACCGGUGGCGAAGGCGGGUCUCUGGGCCGUAACUGACGCUGAGGAGCGAAAGCGUGGGGAGCGAACAGG